rnacentral:lncRNA from 1 species
NNNNGCUUGGGAUUAACUAAAGAUAAAGAUGAAACAGCUGGAAGGGGUCUGUAGUCGAAAAAAGGGAAAAAGAUUACUAAGCAAGAGAUUUAGACCGAGCUGGAUGAGCGACCGACUCAAAGGGGCGAUUAGGAAAAAACAGAAAGCGUACAAAGAGUGGAAGAGGGGAGGGAUCAGUAAGGAAACUUACCUCAGCGAAGUCAGAGAAUGUAGAGAUAGAGUGAGAAAGGCCAAAGGCCGUGUAGAGUUGGACCUAGCGAGGGGAAUUAAAAGCAAUAGUAAAAGGUUUUACAGUCAUAUAAAUAGGAAGAAAGCAAAGAAAGAAGAAGUAGGACCGCUGAAGACUAUAGCCGGAGAGGAGAUUAAAGAUAAUCUAGGGAUGGCGCAAUAUCUCAAUGAAUAUUUUGCAUCGGUGUUUAAUGAGGCCUAUGAAGGUAUUAGGGAUACUAGCACCAUUACAGAGGGGCAUACAGGAUGGGGGCUUACAGUAUCCGAGGUAGAAAAAAAACUUGAACACCUUAAUGGGACUAAGUCGGGAGGACCGGACGAUCUUCAUCCGAGAAUAUUGAAGGAAUUGGCGCGGGAAAUAGCAGGCCCAUUAGCGAUAAUAUUUAAUGAAUCUGUAAACUCGGGGGUGGUCCCGUUAGACUGGAGAAUAGCUAAUGUGGUUCCUAUUGUCAAGAAAGGGAAAAAAAGUGAUCCGGGUAACUACAGGCCUGUUAGAGAAAAUUCUGAAAGAGAAACUAACACCUUGCACACUACAGAUGUUAAACUAACAGGCCUGUAGUUACUAUUCUCCAGUCUAACGGGACCACCCCCGAGUUUACAGAUUCAUUAAAUAUUAUCGCUAAUGGGCCUGCUAUUUCCCGCGCCAAUUCCUUCAAUAUUCUCGGAUGAAGAUCGUCCGGUCCUCCCGACUUAGCCCCAUUAAGGUGUUCGCAUCCCUCUGCUGCUCCGGGUGCAAGGGCGCCAGAUCCUGCUCUUGCCUGAGUUAUUAGUUU